UACGGAGGGUGCGAGCGUUGUCCGGAAUCACUGGGCGUAAAGGGCGCGUAGGCGGCGCGGGGAGUCAACGGUGAAAGCUCGGCGCUCAACGCCGAGUCGGCCGUCGAUACUCCCGGGCUCGAGCACUGUAGAGGCAGAUGGAAUUCCGGGUGUAGCGGUGGAAUGCGUAGAGAUCCGGAAGAACACCGGUGGCGAAGGCGGUCUGCUGGGCAGUUGCUGACACUGAGGCACGAAAGCGUGGGGAGCAAACAGG
rnacentral:rRNA from 1 species